rnacentral:rRNA from 1 species
AACGAACGCUGGCGGCAGGCCUAACACAUGCAAGUCGAACGUGAAGCAUCCUUCGGGAUGUGGAAAGUGGCGCACGGGUGAGUAACGCGUGGGAAUCUACCUCUUGGUUCGGGAUAACCCUUGGAAACGAGUGCUAAUACCGGAUACGCCUUUUGGGGAAAGAUAUAUUGCCGAGAGAUGAGCCCGCGUUCAAUUAGGUAGUUGGUAGGUAAUGGCCUACCAAGCCUACGAUUGAUAGCUAGGUCUGAGAGGAUGACCAGCCACACUGGGACUGAGACACGG